rnacentral:rRNA from 1 species
AUGAGCGGGGACAACAUUCGGAAACGGAUGCUAAUACCCCAUAGGUGGAUUGGUCGCAUGACGAAUUCAUUAAAGGUGGCUUUGCUACCACUCAUGGAUAGCCUCGCGGCGUAUUAGCUAGUUGGUAAGGUAAUGGCUUACCAAGGCAGUGAUACGUAGCCGACCUGAGAGGGUGAUCGGCCACACUGGGACUGAGACACGGCCCAG